AGUGCUCACAGCCGCAGUCCCGGCCGGAGGAGGGGGACUCGGCAGCUCAGCAUCUUCGCAGCGGGUUAAGUAGGAUUAAUACCAAAUCCCUAUUAUAUUUGCCAAGCAACUUGAAUUUAUCAAAAUUCCCCCUCGCUGUUCUGGAGCUCCGAGAGGAGGAAAUAUUGCUUACAGUGUAAGAUCCGGACAUAGCAGCAAGCAGGGAAUGCCAGCACACUGCAUCACACUGCUCCCCGCACCAGCCACACAAUCGCAACACGGAGAUCCCACUGUUCCCGUCCCUUUGUGCUUUAAAUGCGAUCGGGACACUAAAUAGGUUCGCCAGAGGAAGGGCGGGGUGGGAGAGCUUGUAACCUCCCUGCCAUAAACUUUAAUCGGAUUCCGAACUGUUGCACGGUGCGGGCUCCUCCUGACCGUGGCAUCUUCCCCGCUGUCCCCCAUGUCUACCACCGCGGUUUGCUUUGCGAGAGCGUUUUCCAAGCGAAUGAGUGAUCUCUUUCUCUUGCCAUGUGUAGUGUCACCCUUCCCCCUCCCCACCCCCACCCCCCUGCCCCCCGCCCCACUCCCGGCCUCCGUACACACACUGCGCCUUUCACACUCGGGCUGCCCCCGGCCCCCCUCCCCUUCUCUCCCCUUUGCAGUGUCUUCACAUGCAAUCUCUCUCUGAAUGUGCAAUGUCUUUCCUGCUCGGGAGUGCCUCGUCCUUCACAGUGGAUUGGUUCCUCUUUCGGAGCAGAGGAAUGUUGCAAUUUGACCCCGGUAGACUCCAGGAUCUGGGAACAACUCUGUCUCAGCUGCUGCAACCCUGCCUGGGGCAGCCUUAUUUCCAACUCAGACUGAGGAUGGAGACACCUCAAUCCCAUUCCUCUUAUCAGAUGGCAGAGACUGAAGCAUGCUACUGAAAGCACGGGCAACAACACUCUCCAGUUUCAAAAACACAUGCAUAAUUUUGGAUCCCUGAGUUCUGACACUGUCCUUCUGACAAACUCACCUGCAUCCUGGGCUCAUUUCACUCACUCUACGGGUCUCCUAUUUGCCAGCUUGAUGCUCAGUGGUAAACACACACACACACACUCAGACACUUAACAUACAGGCAUUUUGCACUGUUGAUGGUUUGUUAAGUUCCAGGAAAUCCAGAAGGAUCACCCCUUUCCUAUCCUAAAAGGCAAUAUUCAUCACUUUAUGCAUGGAGGCCUGCAUCCUGAACUUUUUCUUCAAUGGGGAGUUCACAGGUUCCCACUCCAUGAAUUGUAUUUUUGACUCUGGUUAACAGUGGAGACACCACAUCUCAUCACUGGUAUUGAUGUGAUCAAGAAAACUGUCAUCUACAGCUUAAUAUUUGUUCAGUAGGUCCUGACAAAAUUCAAUGCAGUGUUCUUUCUUUUUCUAUGUGAGCAUUCAUGUGACAAAUCUGGCAUAAAUUUUGCAGUAUUCCACAACACAGUGAAGCUGAUAUUCAGAUCCACAUUAAGUUCCUUGGUUGUAAUCCAUCAGUGUGCAUGGAAGAGCUCAGUAAAAGCCUCUUCAUUUCAUAGAAUAGAAUAAUAGAAUCACAAAGGUUGGAAAAGACCCACAGGAUCAUCCAGUCCAACCAUUCACCCAUCACCAAUGGUUCUCACUAAACCAUGUCCCUCAACAAAACGUCCAAACAUUCCUUGAACACCUCCAGGGUUGGUGACUCCACCGCCAUAUUUGGCGAUGAGGAUGGGAUGAGAGACAGCUGUGCUUGACAAUCCUGAACAGGGCUUGACUUUCAUUGUUGCUGUUGCCACUGUUAAAAUGUAUCACCCACAAACUCACUGUGCUCACAUCCACUGUUUGAUCUUGUGAGACUGCUGUUUUGGACUCUUUCAACUCAAAACCUGCUGUGAGACCCCCUUAUCUCAAAGUCUGUAUGAGACAUUUAGCACUCUUUGUCUCAAGGUUUACAAGAAGGCCCACGGCCAUUUCCUGUCUUGCCAGUCCUACCGAUGCACAAUUGCCAGGGUCAUCGAAGAUAAGACAAGAAGGAAAAAUUGGUUCUGUUGGGGUCCGAAGUAUGGCUAAGCAAUCUCCUGGGUAGUGGACCUCAGAGGAGACUGACCACCUGAGAUGGGAUGCACAUACCAACAUGUGCCAUUACCUAGGAACCCAAGCUCAACAGGACAGUAUAAAAGACUGUUUGAAUGAGAGAAAGGAAGAGCAUCCUUCUCAUCUACUUGAAGAUGUCCUUGGACCAAUGGAAUGUCACUGGAAUCCAUGGUGGUGAUUACUUCUUGAUUUCUAUAAAUAACCCUUGUUUUUAUUUCCUAUCUUUUUACUAUUGCUCACCUUCCCUUCCCCAUCACCCUGACUAUGAAUUUGUAGUAAACUGGAAGAACAUUUGACCUCUUUCUGUCUUAAUCUCACUCUAGGUCUAUAUCAUGAAUCACUUUUCCUUUAAUAACUGGAGUGAGACAGAUCUCCAUAAAGAUUGAGCAAGCACUGAUGAAUGUCAGUGGGUGCAAUCUUUUCCUCAUAAAGGGAUUCAAUCAUAGAAUCAUAGAAUCAUAAAAUCACCAAGGCUGGAAAAGACCUCCAAGAUUAUCCAGUUCAACCAUCAACUUAUCACCAAGAGUUCCCACUAAACCAUGUCCCUCAGUACAACAUCUAAGUGUUUCUUGGACACCUCCAGGGAUGGUGACUCCACUGCCUCUCUGGGCAGACCUUUCCAGCACCUAACCACAUUUUUGGAGAAGAUUUUCCUAACGUCCAACCUGAAUCUCCCCUGGCAUAACUUGAGGCUUAAGAGAAGAGAGAAUGAAGGAGGAAAAUAUAGUAUGAUUAUUUUUUAACUUUUUUCCAGCUUCCAGCAUCUGAAGCUAAAGUCAGAUCACCUUUUUUAUUAGCUUUUCUUUUCAUAGUAUUCAAGUGGAAGUUUGGGCUUGCCAAUAUUUUGUGGAAAGUAUUUGCUUGUCACACGCUUUCCCCAAAAGCCCAUUGUUUAUGGAUUUCUUAGCAGCUUAAUCAUGAAUAGUUGUCAAUUAAUUACAUGCUUAUCUGCCCAUGCAGAGUACCUGUGCAUUGAAUUUUCUUUUUUGUCCACUUUAUCUGUUUUCAGAACUAUAUAUGCUAUAGAUGUCACAAGACUUUAACAAACUCUAAAACAUUUCAUACUGUUCAAUUUUUGUAUUAACUCCAAUAUCAUCCUUUUCCAUUCUAUUCUUUCAUCUAUUGAUAUUCCAUGAAUAAAUCUUGUGUUAACAUGAGUUUAUUUACAUUCUAUUUUCAUCACCUUCUUCAAUAAUUCACUGCAUGUAUUUAUUGCUCUCUGUGUGAAGUACAAGAUAAUUUAAUCUUGAUCUCUGAUUUUAAAUUUUAGUUUCCUGAUUUUAGAAACUCUCACCACAUUUCUAUUUAAUUAGUACAGUAGUUUGUGACUGAUGCAAUCAGAAAUACACCCCUGUACACUUAUUCACCUGUGCUGUUCUCAAUACACCUUCACUGUUUUGUUACUGAAGUAAUGAAGAGAGAUGAGAAUCAUACCUUGGAUUUUUAAAAGAUCUUUACUGAAUGAACACUAUUUCAUAUUUUGGCAAAGUUGUAGAUUUUUUAUUACUUCUCGAAUAUUUCUGUACAGUGACCAGAAUUCUAUUUUGCUUUACAAAGUGAAACCACCAUUACCUAUUUACCUAAGAAUCUACUUUUUUUUAAAAUUGAAAUCUUUUGAUGUUCAAUACCCCUGUGAACUCAGCUCACAAAUACCACUAUUAGUGGUUUCCUAGGAUACCAACACACAUAUUCAAAAAAGGUACAGGAAAACAGCAUAGGAAAACAAGGAGAUCCUGCAGCACUUACUUUUUUUUUUUUUUUUUUAAUCUUUU